UCUGGUUGAUCCUGCCAGUUAUAUGCUUGUCUCAAAGAUUAGGCCAUGCAUGUCUAAGUACACACGAAUUGAAAGUGAAACCGCAAAAGGCUCAUUAUAUCAGUUAUGGCUCCUUAGAUCGUUAACAGUUACUUGGAUAACUUGGUAAUUCUAGAGCUAAUACAUGCAAUUAAAACAUCAACCUUAUGGAACAUGUGCGUUCAUUAGGCUAAAGCCAAGCGAUUGCAAGAUCGUAAUAUUGGUUGAACUCUAGAUAACAUGCAGAUCGUAUGGUCUUGUACCGACGACAGAUCUUUCAAAUGUCUGCCCUAUCAUUUUUUGAUGGUUGUAUCUAGGACUACCAUGGUUGCAACGGGUAACGGGCAAUCAGGGUUCGAUUCCGGAGAGGGAGCCUGAGAAACGGCUACCACAUCUAAGGAAGGCAACAGGCGCGUAAAUUACCCACUCCCAGCUCGGGGAGAUACAGGACUCAUAUCUGAGGCCCUGUAAUUGGAAUGAGCACUUUAAAUCCUUUAACAAGGACCAAUUGGAGGGCAAGUCUGGUGCCAGCAGCCGCGGUAAUUCCAGCUCCAAUAGCGUAUAUUAAAGUUGUUGCGGUUAAAACGUUCGUAGUUGAACUUGUGCUUCAUGCGGGUAGUACAACUUACAAUUGUGGUAAGCGUAUUACCGGUGGAGUUCUUAUAUGUGAUUAAAUACUUGUAUUUUUUCAUAUGUUCUCCUAUUUAAAAACCUGCAUUAGUGCUCUUAAACGAGUGUUAUUGUGGGCCGGUACUAUUACUUUGAACAAAUAAGAGUGCUUAAAGCACGCUUCAAAUGCCUGAUUAUUCUGUUCAUGGGAUAAUGAAAUUAGACCUCUGUUCUGCUUUCAUUGGAUUUCAGAUCAAGAGGUAAUGAUUAAUGGAAGCAGUUUGGGGGAAUUAGUAUUACGACGCUAGAGGUGAAAUUCUUGGACCGUCGUAAGACUAACUUAAGCGAAAGCAUGUAGUGUACGUAGUUCGACAGAUUUUUAACUAGUUGGUCUUUUAAUAGUGGGUGGUAAUUACUAAUAAAGAGUUCCUUGUACUUCCUUCGCUAGGGAUGCGCACUCUUGCUAUGGUCGGGUCUAGCUCGCCGUAGGUCGUGGUUCUCUUAGCUUAGUACGAAACGCUACUACAUUUUAAUAAGUGCGUCUUACUCAAAACAAUAUUCAAAACUGGACUAUCGAUUAAUAAAAGAAAUGGCUUUAUAUUGAUACUAAUGAUACACGCCGACA
rnacentral:rRNA from 1 species